UUCGUGUUGCAGUAUCUGCGGCUUGAGCAAACACGGUCAAUGGCACAGAACUUAAGAUCAGUCACAGCAUGAUUAGCCUCAUGAAAAUGUCUGACCACUGGUGAUUUUAGGUCAUUUCUUUAGAUGGCACCACAAUGCUUGUUGAUGCGUAACCGUAGUUGUCUGCGCGUAAUGCCAGUGUAUUGCAAGCCACAUGGACAAGACAGUAGAUACUCUACAUUGUCAGAUCCACAGCACGUGGACAUUGCAGCCCUCCUGAUCAAGUUCAACAGGUGUGUGAAUGCUUUUGACAAGUGGGCCUUCACCCCUGUCCACAAGGUAGCUAAGAAAGGCUGUACACUGUGCUUUACUGCUGACCCUACCGUGAAGAAGCAGGAGGGACAGACUGCACUUAACCUGGCCACAGUACGCAUCCAUCUUCUGCUAGCUGGGUUAACAGUAGAUAGCAUGAAUAUGUCAAAUGAAGUGUUCAGUAUUCUCUGAUUCUCAACAUAAACAAGACUCAUGUUUUUUGCCCAAAAUGGUAGACGCUGUGAAUGUAUAUAUGUGUUACAUCUUUAUAGUUGCACAAGUAAGUGGCUUACAUACAAUGUCGUAGACUGCUCAAUAAAAUUCCCAUCCAGUAUAUUUUUAAACGCAAGCCUGUGGAAACCCCUUAUCACCCAGUAACUCUCCCUCUGAACACAUCCUCCUCCUCCUACUUCCUCGGGCUGAUGAUAUCCGUGCACUGUUGAUGAACACUAUGCCCCCAGACACAGAGAAGAGGGAUCACCAGCUCAGCUCUUCACACUUUCCAAUCUCUGGAGGGGACAACAGACAUUGCUCAAUCUGCGCUUGAUUCGGCCCAUUUGCCAACCAGCCGAAUGGAUUAACGUUUUAAUGCAUAAAUCCUUUAGCUAUUGUAGUUUAACAUUUACAUAAAUACAUCAUGUUCUUCCACAGGUUCCCAUUUCAUGACAAGCCUAGGCUGCAGCAGUGGGUAGGAAAUGUCAGGCGGAUGAUUUGAAACCCAACACUCUCGUCUCUGUGUCCAUCACUUUGAAGAGGAAUGUCUUCGAUAUGACGAGGGGAAAGUCUGCCUCACCCCGACUAUUGUGCCCACCGUUUUCUCCUUUCGUGGUCGUCUUCAAAAGCGGUCACAAUGCCCCAGGGAAAGACGACGGAAUUUGGUAGAUACAGAGUUUGGAAGCUACACUGCCAUCGCUGCUGAUUCCUUGCCUCUACAAGAGAGCUUCCUGGCUGACUAUAGUGGAUCUGCAGGCCGCUGACGACACAAGGUGAUAUUCCCACACCUCAGCUGAGCAGAGGAUCCAAUACCGACAAACCAUGCAGCAGAUCCUAAAUGGCCUACACUGUCUCAGGAUCAAUCAAGACUCUCCAGACUAACACGGCUUGACAUACCAAGUUUUGGCAAUCACCCUUUUUCUGCCAUCAGAGAUGCUGGAUGCAGAGUUACAGUCCCUUACAAUCCCUCACACCCCACACAUGUUCAGUAGAGAACAUCCAUAGACAUGGAGCUGCUGCAGCAGCUAGACCACUUCAUACAGGAGCUGCGUUGAGAAGGGAACACUGAUUUACUUGUUCUGUAAGGAAAGAGAAACAUUCAGAUUGGUAUUUACCUUCCAAGACUUCAGCUUCAAGUUCCACAACACAAUCGAGGUACAAGGUACACCACGAUCAAGGUACAUUCCCUGACCAGAUAGUGAUGGAGAAAGAAGGUGAGGAUAGACUAUGAAAGACACAUAGAACCGAACCAGGAUUGUCCGUGAGAGGUUGCAUUUCUUCAGGCGGCGCAGAUAAUACAUCUGGUGGGCCUUGUUGGUAAAUGCUGUGAUGUUGUCCUUCCACUUAAAGUUAUGGGGGAGGAUGGUCUCCAGGAGCUGUCAUGAGCUCAGUUGUUGCGAUAGAUUUCUUAUGUCUGAUAAGUCAUUUAUAAUCAUACUUUUCUUUCUGAUGGCGGCAUAAACUACAUUCUUGUCACAUGGUCGGCUCAUCUGUCAGGGUGGAGUCCAAUCUGUUUUUCAUUGCUCCUUUUUUCCCUACUACACAUAAUCCUUGAUUGAAAAUUAUUCGAAUAUAAGAAGUCUUAACAUUAGAACAGAAGUUGAAUGAAAUGAGACGGUGUUCCCCUCACACGACUCCCUUGUCCUGAUUUCACAUAUAGCUUGUCAUAGCAAAUUGUUUACACACUCAAGCUAUUCCAUUACUUUCAUGUCCAAACUCUGCAUAUUUAACAUUUUGUUGGAUGUAAUAGUAAUUCAAUGGUUCUAUCUAGUGUUUUAAUGUCAUUACAAGUGUACCACUCCACAGGUGGAUUGCUUACAAAGUUUUUUUUGUCCCAUCGCUGCAACUCCUGUACGGACUCGAGAGAGGCGAGGGGUCGAGAGCCAUGCAUCCUUCGAAACACGACCAUGCCAAGCCACACUGCUUGCUGUGUCGGAGGAAACACCGUACAGCUGGCAACCAAAGUCAGCGUGCAUGCACCCGGCCCCGCCACAAGGAGUCGCUAGAGCACGAUGGGACAAGGACAUCCCAGCCAGCCAAACCCUCCCCUUACCCGGACAAUGCUGGGCCAAUUGUGCACCACCUUAUGAGUCUCCCGGUUGGUCCUUGGCAACUUUGGCCCCACCCAUCUCUUUAAGGAUUUGCACGUGAGGCCAUGUGCUAAACAGAGUGAGUAAGGUAGUGUAGUUAACAACCAAAGAUUUCAAGACUAAAAGUGGGGAAAGUAGUAGCCUACAAUAAGGAAAAACUCCAGGUAAAAAUACUUAAUCUAGUCCUUAGCCUAUAUCCUAAUAUGAUUUUGAAAGUAUCAACAUUAUUAGAUGAUGCUUACCAAGACACUUUUCUAAAUUGAUGGGUCAUGUGAAAGAAAUGCUAUAACCACCCCACAGCCACAUCUAGCUAAGUUGAUGUGUCACUAUUGUCUGGACAUGUACACAUGUUCAUGAAAUAGAAUCGAAUGUCGUAAUCACCCCCAGACACACCUGGCUAACUUGGUGGGUAAUGUAAUCAUUCUCUUGCGAAGUGGAAGAGCUAGCUAGCUAAAUAAUGAACCCUAAUCCCAACCCAUUGCUACAGUAUAAACGGAUUGUCAAAGCUAGCCACUAUACAUCAAAUGCUGGAGUAUGAAUCUGCAGGUAGCUGAAGCUUACCAACAAGGUUCAAUGUUAGCUAGCUAGCUAACAUUAGGCUAAAACUAGCAAUGCAAAUGGAUUUCUGAGAUACAAAUAAUAUUACUACGCAGAUCAUACACGUAACAUUAGCUAGCGAGACAGCAAGCUAACAUUCGAUAGCUAGCUAAUAAAAAAAUUCCUCUCCUGUGGAGCAUUGAUGUGCGAAAUACAGCUUUUUGAACCGGGUCACAAUUGUCAUUUCAUAAGGCAGCACCAGGUGGCCUCUGGCAUUAAGGCAUUCUUGGCCAUGGAGUCAGGUUCCAUCCUCAGAAUGUGUCCUAGUCACAGGAGUGUUCCUUGAGUUAUGUCUGUUUGUAUCCAUCUGGAACUGGUCUUGUUAUAGAGGUCUUGGUUUGAGAUCGUGUUAGGCCAGAAGAUGAACAUUUGGAAAUUGUUGUGGAAGGUGGAUAGGGAGUUCACGUCCGUCUCGAUGGUUCUCUAGCUUUAGCUAUUUUUUAGUAGGACUGAUUUCCCAUUGUUGUUGUAGAUGUGCAUCUUUGUCUUUAGGCUGUAUUGACUCAAGUUCUAGAUUUCCCAGAUGUUAGGAGUGUAGCUUUGUUUAGGCUGUGCUUGAUGUCUUUACAUGUGGAGUUUUCUUAUCCAAGUACAGCCCCAAGGUAUGUAAAGCUCUCAACCUGUUUCAGUGGCUUUCCUUUGAUUGUUUUUUUGUGUUGUUUGAUUUGAUUCUAUGCUCUUGGGUCUUUUCCACGUUUACCAAUAGGCCUAGUUGAUAAGCACAUUGGUCCAACUUUUUUCCUGCAUUUGGGCUUGUUGAGAAGAGAGCAGAGAAAUGUCAAUGGCAAAAUCCAGAUAUUCAAGUCCUGACAACAGGGUCUACUGGAUUCCCCUUAUUGAGUAUUUUGUGGUGUUUCUCAUUAACCAAUCCAUGGCAAUCAAGAAGAGAAUAUGCAUCCUUGGCGUACACCUCACACGAAAUUGAACUAGUCUGAAGUGGUGUUAUCAAGGAUGGCAUAUUACAAUCUGUAGAAGUCAUAUGGCGAGGAGGUCCGGGGGCUACCGCAGGUAUGAGGCAUGCUCAGCCUUCAACUGUAACACACCAACACGUCAGGUCAUGCUGGAAAUUUAGGGGACAGUGGUUUAAGAGUAAGGUGCUAAGGUGAGAGUAGGGGAUUAUGGUAGAGUGUAGGGAAAGACUAAUAGGUUACCUUUCUGUCCAGGAACUUGGAGUGCAUCUGCAUGUCCUCUUCCUACAGCAGAUGCCUCUUCUCAAACACUGCCAUAUCAUCCAUCACAUCUGACACACAACGCACAUAGACACACACAUGUAAAUAGGGGAACAUUCCUAAUAGUGUGUCUGUGUGUGUGGAACUGUAUUUGGGCAGGAGCAGCAGGAGCCUCAUGUUGACCGGAGAGCCCAUCUGCACUCGGCUGGCCAGGUGCCUAAACUUUAACAGGGAAAGACAUCACACAGGGAGAAAGAGAUGGCAGGAGCAGUGGUGCCAUGUAUGUCCCAGGUUUCUCUGGUAUAGUCCGUGUUACUCUAAAAGUACUUUGUGACAACUGCUGAUGUUUUAAUUUAUUUCACCUUUAUUUAACCAAGUAGGCUAGUUGAGAACAAGUUCUCAUUUGCAACUGCGACCUGGCCAAGAUAAAGCACAGCAGUUCGACACAUACAACACAGAGUUACACAUGGAAUAAACAAAACAUACAGGCAAUAAUACAGUAGAAAAAAGAAAGCAAAAAUCUAUAUACAGUGAGUGCAAAUAAGGUAAGAUAAGGGAGUUAAGGCAAUAAAUAGGCCAUGAUGGCAAACUAAUUACAAUAUAGCAAUUAAACACUGGAAUGAUAGUUGUGCAGAAGAUGAAUGUGCAAGUAGAGAUACUGGGGUGCAAAGGAGCAAGAUAAAUAAAUAAAUACAGUAUGGGGAUGAGGUAGUUGGAUUGGCUGUUUAGAGAUGGGUUAUGUGCAGUGAUCUGUGAGCUGCUCUGACAGCUGGUGCUUAAAGCUAGUGAGGGAGAUAUGAGGCUUCAGUGAUUUUUUUGCAGUUUGUUCCAGUCAUUGGCAUCAGAGAACUUAAAGGAAAAGCGGCCAAAGGAGGAAUUGGCUUUGGGGGUGACCAGUGAGAUAUACCUGCUGGAGCGCGUGCUACAAGUGAGUGCUGCUAUGUACAAAAAGGCCAUGUAUAAUUUUGCUUGAUUGAUUGACUGUAUAAGUGAAAGUGAUGUCUUCUUACCCGUCAGGUAGGAAGUAUCGCUUUUUAUUAUCUAUGCAUAGUCACUUCACCCCACCUCCAUGUACAAAUUACCUCGACUAACCUGUACCCCAGCACAUUGACUCGGUACCGGUACCCCCUGUAUAAAGCCUCAUUGUUAUUUUAUUGUGUUACUUUUUAGAAUGUUUUACUUUAGUUUAUUUGUUAAAUAUUUUAUUAACUCUUUCUUGAACUGCACUGUUGGUUAAGGGCUUGUGAGUAAGCAUUUCAUGACAAGGUGACAAAUAAAGUUUGAUUUGAUUUGAUCAGUGCCAAAUCUGCCAAGUGGCUGGGAUGUCCUCCACUGAAUCCACCGUCCUCUCCACCACCUCCAUUUCCACCACCUGCUGUCUGCCAUCUGCCGUCUGCACCCUAACUCCCUCUGACCACAGAUUGACCACACAUUAACCACACAACAUGGACAAUAUAAAUACGGUCAAAUCAAACACAACCUCGCCCCCAGGCUUAUAAGCCUGGGAUAUCAACCACUCCAAGUUGGCCUUAUUGGGAGUGACCAUAGAGUUCUAUGAGACCUACUGAAUAAAGUAUUUGUCAUCA